GACCUGGAGCGAAUCUCAGAAAUAACGUCUCAGUUCGGAUUGUAGUCUGCAACUCGACUACAUGAAGCUGGAAUCGCUAGUAAUCGCGGAUCAGAAUGCCGCGGUGAAUACGUUCCCGGGUCUUGUACACACCGCCCGUCACACCAUGGGAGUCGGGAAUGCCCGAAGCCAGUGACCCAAGCGAGAGCAGGGAGCUGUCGAAGGCAGGCCGGAUAACUGGGGUGAAGUCGUAACAAGGUAAC
rnacentral:rRNA from 1 species